rnacentral:rRNA from 1 species
AUGGGAGCGGCCGUUGCAUUAUAUUCUGCCCAAUGCUUUGCCAUGGGUAGAUUCGCUAAUGGGUUACCAUACCCGCCAAUCACCCUUGAUUUUGUGAUUGGGUUUAGCGGCUGGCUUCCCUUCUCAGGGAUGGAGAGCUCAGGGACGACUGCUCGCAGGAGAGCCGCUCACUUAAAAAUCCUGCUCUUGCAUGGAGACGAUGAUCCUCAAGUACCAUAUGAAACCAGUAUAUGGUACGCUGAGUUUCUGCGAACCUCAGGAUUUUCAGUGGAUUUUAGAACCUUCAACAGACUGCAGCAUUUUUGGACGUACCGUGAGAUGGAUUAUGUCAAGCAGUGGCUCCGCCCUAGGAUCGCAGUGCCCAGACGCCAUGGAAGGCUGUAG